UACAGAGGUGGCAAGCGUUGUUCGGAAUUACUGGGCGUAAAGGGCGCGUAGGCGGUCUUGCAAGUCCUGUGUGAAAUCCCUCGGCUCAACUGAGGAACUGCACAGGAAACUGCUGGGCUUGAGUUCGGGAGAGGGAAGCGGAAUUCCGGGUGUAGCGGUGAAAUGCGCAGAUAUCAGGAGGAACACCGGUGGCGAAGGCGGGUCUCUGGGCAGUAACUGACGCUGAGGAACGAAAGCGUGGGGAGCAAACAGG
rnacentral:rRNA from 1 species